rnacentral:misc_RNA from 1 species
AACGCACAUUGCGCCCCGUGGUAUUCCGCGGGGCAUGCCUGUUCGAGCGUCAUUUAAACCAAUCCAGCGUGCUGGGUCUUGGGCUCUCGCCUCCGGGCGGGCCUUAAAAUCAGUGGCGGUGCCGUCCGGCUCUAAGCGUAGUAAUACUCCUCGCUACAGGGCCCCGGGCGGUUGCUGGCCAGUAACCCUCAAUUUUUCAGGUUGACCUCGGAUCAGGUAGGGAUACCCGCUGAACUUAA